rnacentral:lncRNA from 1 species
GUCAGGAGGUAUCAAUUGUGUAGCCCUCAGCUUAUGGGUGGUAGCUAAAGCCGCAGGACCCAGUGAGGUCACAAAGGAACUGAGCCUAGAUGAGGAAGAAAAAAGGGUCAAGUUUAGAUGAUGAGGAGGCACCAGCAAAAGAGACUGAGAAAGAGUGGGCAGGCAAAUGGAAGAAAGACCGGGCACAAUGAAGGGCAGGAUUAGAGUGGUGAGGAAACUGAGCCUGAGACCGAACA